GUAGGUGAACCUGCGGAAGGAUCAUUAACACUCCAAAUCACGUUUAUCCAGAGAAAAACUCUUUUUUCUUUGGAUAUUCACCCCCUCUUUUUCAAUUUGAACCUUUGUUGGGAAGUGCUUCAUAAGCUUUUGGUUUUUAGUUUUUUAAAACAAAACAAAAAACCAAAAGCUUCCCUGACCGCUUCCGCUUUUUUUUCUCCCAAAACCCCAUUAAAACACCUUUUUCUUUGACUGAACUUUGUUUUUUUUU
rnacentral:misc_RNA from 1 species